rnacentral:lncRNA from 1 species
CCAUAUGUGGACGACAUCUUACUUACUAGUAGUAAUGUUGGUCUAAAGAAAAGAAGAAGUUAUUGUCCUUAAGUUUCAAUAAGUAUAAUCUCGGUAAAGUGUCUUCCGUUCUAGAAACUCGAACUUGCCGAGAUAAAAGAAAGGGGUAUUAAAGAUGUUGCAAGUGCAUGCUUGGAAAAGGUUCUGAAGAAAUAAAGCAUGCAUAUAUAUAUAUAUAAAUGUACGCCUGAUCCUGUGGUCAAGGGUAAGAGUUUUGAAAAGUGUGAGAAAGAACAGAUGGACGUCCAAUGUGCUUCAGCUGUUGGAAGCUUUAUAAGUGUAUGGAUAAAAUCUUACCCUGACAUAGUCUAUAUAUCCGGGAAGUUUUGGCAAAAGUCCAAUCUAGACAUAGAUCACUAGA